rnacentral:rRNA from 1 species
AACGAACGCUGGCGGCGUGCUUAACACAUGCAAGUCGCACGAGAAAGUCCUUCGGGAUGAGUAGAGUGGCGCACGGGUGAGUAAUACAUGGGAACGUACCUUUCGGUGGAGGAUAACCACGGGAAACUGUGGCUAAUACUGCAUAGCUUCGAAAGAAUAAAGAUGGCCUCUAUUUAUAAGCUAUCGCCGGUCGAUCGGCCCAUGUCCUAUCAGCUAGUUGGUGAGGUAAUGGCUCACCAAGGCUAUGACGGGUAGCUGGUCUGAGAGGAUGAUCAGCCACACUGGAACUGAGACACGGUCCAGACUCCUACGGGUGGCUG